GACGAACCGUGCGAACGUUGCUCGGAAUCAUUGGGCUUAAAGGGCGCGUAGGCGGCUGCCUAAGUCAGACGUGAAAUCCCUCGGCUCAACCGGGGAACUGCGUCUGAUACUGGGUGGCUUGAAUUCGGGAGAGGGAUGCGGAAUUCCAGGUGUAGCGGUGAAAUGCGUAGAUAUCUGGAGGAACACCGGUGGCGAAGGCGGCAUCCUGGACCGAGAUUGACGCUGAGGCGCGAAAGCCAGGGGAGCAAACGGG
rnacentral:rRNA from 1 species